GCCGGCGUAGCCCAACGGGAGAGGCCCACGGUUUAGGUCCGUGUCAGUGCGGGUUCGAAUCCCGCCGUCGGCA
rnacentral:tRNA from 7 species